UCCCGCUUUUCCUCCCUGAGCGGGUGCCCCGGCUUCAUGCCGGGGCGUAUGUAUACCCCGGUCAUUCUCCCCUUGGGCCGGGGUUUCUUUU
rnacentral:ncRNA from 1 species